rnacentral:rRNA from 1 species
AGAAUCAACGCUGGCGGCGUGCCUAACACAUGCAAGUCGCACGAGAAAGGGACUUCGGUCCUGAGUAAAGUGGCGCACGGGUGAGUAACACGUGAAUCAUCUACCCUCGAGUGGGGAAUAACCUAGAGAAAUCUGGGCUAAUACCGCAUAACACUUACGAGUCAAAGCAGCAAUGCGCUUGGGGAGGAGUUCGCGGCCGAUUAGCUAGUGGCGGGUAAUGGCCCACAAGGCGAUGAUCGGUA